rnacentral:rRNA from 1 species
GACGAACGCUGGCGGCGUGCCUAACACAUGCAAGUCGAGCGGGAAUUUACAAAUUGAAGCUUCGGCCGAUUUUGUAAAGGAUAGCGGCGGACGGGUGAGUAACGCGUGAGUAACCUGCCCUUAAGAGGGGAUAACACACCGAAAGGUGUGCUAAUACCGCAUAAUGUGCUUUACCGCAUGGUAGAAGUACCAAAGAUUUAUCGCUUAAGGAUGGACUCGCGUCUGAUUAGAUAGUUGGUGAGGUAACGGCUCACCAAGUCGACGAUCAGUAGCCGAGCUGAGAGGUUGAUCGGCCACAUUGGGACUGAGACACGGCCCAG